UUCUUAGCGGAAGGGUGUUAAGUAGGCCCUGCUCAAUGAAAAUUAAAUAGCUGUUUGGACACUAAGGUAGCAUAAUAAAUUGUUUCUUAAUUAGAAACUGGAAUGAAGGGGUUCAUGGGGGAAAUUUUUCUUUACAUUAAAAUUUGAAUUUAAAUUUGUAGUAAAAAUGCUAUAAUGAGAUUUAGGGACGAGAAGACCCUAUAAAGCUUUAUAGAUUUGUGAUAUAUGUUUAUUGAAAAUUUAUUUUAUUGGGGCAAUGUCUUAAGAUUUAAUUUAAGAAUAAUUUUUAAUUAAAAGUUAUGAAUAAUGAGCCAUAAAUUAUGAGUAUUAGAAAAAGUUACUUUAGGGAUAACAGCAUAAUUUAAGUUGGAAAGUUCAAAUUGAUAAUUUAGGUUAUGACCUCGAUGUUGAAUCAAUAGAUCUUCUAGGUGAAGGAAUUUAGGGAGAAAGUCUGUUCGACUUUUAAAAUAUUACG
rnacentral:rRNA from 1 species